AUGAAAGUGAUGGAUAUUUUCUCAGAUGAUCGAAGUUGAAAUUACUGAGCAUUUUUUUUUUUAUGUAUUUUCUCCUUAUAGGGGAAAAUCCAAGCCACAUCUCUAUUAUAU